GACGAGCGCUGGCGGCGUGCUUAACACAUGCAAGUCGAGCGAUGAAGCACCUUCGGGUGUGGAUUAGCGGCGAACGGGUGAGGAACACGUGAGGAAUCUGCCUUCCACUCUGGGAUAACUCCGGGAAACCGGGGCUAAUACCGGAUAUUUUCAACUGGCGGCAUCGCCGGUUGAAGAAAGUUUUUCGGUGGAAGAUGACCUCGCGGCCUAUCAGCUUGUUGGUGAGGUAAAGGCUCACCAAGGCGACGACGGGUAGCCGGUCUGAGAGGGUGACCGGCCACACUGGGACUGAGACACGGCCCAGACUCCUACGGGAGGCAGCAGUGGGGAAUAUUGGGCAAUGGAGGAAACUCUGACCCAGCGACGCCGCGUGAGGGAUGAAGGCCUUCGGGUUGUAAACCUCUUUCAGCAGGGAAUAAGCGAAAGUGAAGGUACCUGCAGAAGAAGCACCGGCUAACUAUGUGCCAGCCGCCGCAGUAA
rnacentral:rRNA from 1 species